rnacentral:rRNA from 1 species
UGGGGAAUUUUGGACAAUGGGCGAAAGCCUGAUCCAGCAAUGCCGCGUGUGUGAAGAAGGCCUUCGGGUUGUAAAGCACUUUUGUCCGGAAAGAAAUCCUCUGGGUUAAUACCUCGGGGGGAUGACGGUACCGGAAGAAUAAGCACCGGCUAACUACGUGCCAGCAGCCGCGGUAAUACGUAGGGUGCAAGCGUUAAUCGGAAUUACUGGGCGUAAAGCGUGCGCAGGCGGUUUUGUAAGACGGAUGUGAAAUCCCCGGGCUUAACCUGGGAACUGCAUUCGUGACUGCAAGGCUAGAGUAUGGCAGAGGGGGGUAGAAUUCCACGUGUAGCAGUGAAAUGCGUAGAGAUGUGGAGGAAUACCGAUGGCGAAGGCAGCCCCCUGGGCCAAUACUGACGCUCAUGCACGAAAGCGUGGGGAGCAAACAGGAUUAGAUACCCUGGUAGUCCACGCCCUAAACGAUGUCAACUAGUUGUUGGGGAUUCAUUUCCUUAGUAACGUAGCUAACGCGUGAAGUUGACCGCCUGGGGAGUACGGUCG